ensembl:misc_RNA Metazoa_SRP Metazoan signal recognition particle RNA
GCUGAGUGUGGUGACGUGCACCUGUAGUCCCAGCUACUCAGGAAGCUGAGGCAGGAGAAUUGCUUGAGCCCAGGAGGUCGAGGCUGCAGUGAACCAUGAUUACAACUGCACUCCAGCCUGGGCAACAGAGCGAGACUCUGUCUCAA